GUAGGUGGCAAGUGUUGUCCGGAAUUAUUGGGCGUAAAGCGCGCGCAGGCGGUCCUUUAAGUCUGAUGUGAAAGCCCACGGCUCAACCGUGGAGGGUCAUUGGAAACUGGGGGACUUGAGUACAGAAGAGGAAAGCGGAAUUCCAAGUGUAGCGGUGAAAUGCGUAGAGAUUUGGAGGAACACCAGUGGCGAAGGCGGCUUUCUGGUCUGUAACUGACGCUGAGGCGCGAAAGCGUGGGGAGCAAACAGGAUUAGAUACCCUGGUAGUCCGCGCCGUAAACGAUGAGUGCUAAGUGUUAGGGGGUUUCCCGCCCCCUUAGUGCUGCAGCUAACGCAUUAAGCACUCCGCCUGGGGAGUACGGCCGCAAGGCUG
rnacentral:rRNA from 1 species